GAAAAGGUAAAAGCGGCGGCGGCCACCUUACGAUUAGAGCGCUGCAAGUCCGCCGAUGGACAUCAACUGCAGUGAAAACAGGCGUUUGCAAUGUGAAUCUAUCCGUGGCGUGCAAAGUCCUCAGUCCGCUUUCAUCUUUUGCAUUUUAUGAUCUAGACUGUUUUCCCCUCGUGUUGGAUUGCAGCUGGUCCCUUGUGUCUACCUAUAUCAGGUUGAAGGAGCACCCAGUCAUGAGGAGGAUAAGGUUCCACACAAGGACAAACCUAUGAGGUGGCACUGUGGCUUUCCAAAUAAAGUUCUGUGAUACACUUAGACUCUAACUGCCCGCAGUCAGUGCAUUACAGAACUUUGUUUUGGAAGUUAAUACUUUAACCUUUUGGAAAUAAAACCUCAAACAUCUGGACAUUUUAGUUUACAGAAUGUCUCAUUGUUUCUGUUGGCAAAUGUUGUCUAAAAUAAAGUUUCUAUUUUAAUCCA